UACAGAGGGGGCAAGCGUUGUUCGGAAUUACUGGGCGUAAAGGGCGCGUAGGCGGCCUGUUAAGUCGAACGUGAAAUCCCCGGGCUCAACCCGGGAACUGCGUCCGAUACUGGCAGGCUUGAAUCCGGGAGAGGGAUGCGGAAUUCCAGGUGUAGCGGUGAAAUGUGUAGAGAUCGGGAGGAACACCGGUGGCGAAGGCGGGUCUCUGGGCAAUUCCUGACGCUGAGGCGCGAAAGCGUGGGGAGCAAACGGG
rnacentral:rRNA from 1 species